GACGAACGCUGGCGGCGUGGAUUAGGCAUGCAAGUCGAACGGUAGGAUACCUUCGGGUAUCUGAGAGUGGCGAACGGGUGAGUAACACGUAGGUGAUCUACCCUCAAGAUUGGGACAACCCAGGGAAACUUGGGCUAAUACCGGAUGAAAGCAGCAGUGAUGUUGUUUGAAAGGUGGCGUAAGCUGCCGUUUGGGGAUGAGCCUGCGCUCUAUUAGUUAGUUGGCGGGGUAAAGGCCCACCAAGGCGAUGAUAGAUAGGCGGCCUUAACGGGUGGUCGCCCACACUGGGAUUGAGAUACGGCCCAGACUCCUACGGGAGGCAGCAGUCGAGAAUAGUCUACAAUGGCCGAAAGGCUGAUAGUGCGACGCCGCGUGAACGAAGAAGCCCUUCGGGUGUAAAGUCUUUAUAUGUGAGCAGUGCUUUCUAUGUGAACAGCAUGGGGAGAGAGAUAUUAGCAUAUGAAUAAGCAACGGCUAACUCCGUGCC
rnacentral:rRNA from 1 species